UCGGGAAUAUUGCGCAAUGGAGGAAACUCUGACGCAGUGACGCCGCGUAUAGGAAGAAGGUUUUCGGAUUGUAAACUAUUUUAGACAGGGAAGAAAAAAGACAGUACCUGUAAAAUAAGCUCCGGCUAACUACGUGCCAGCAGCCGCGGUAAUACGUAGGGAGCAAGCGUUAUUCGGAAUCACUGGGCGUAAAGAGUACGUAGGCGGCAAGGUAAGUCUGAUGUGAAAUGCGGGAGCUUAACUUCCGAACGGCAUUGGAUACUGCUUUGCUAGAGCAAUGGAGGGGAAACCGGAAUUCUCGGUGUAGCAGUGAAAUGCGUAGAUAUCGAGAGGAACACUCGUGGCGAAGGCGGGUUUCUGGACAUUAGCUGACGCUGAGGUACGAAGGCCAGGGUAGCGAAAG
rnacentral:rRNA from 1 species